rfam:Planctomycetes bacterium RBG_16_64_12 RBG_16_scaffold_23386, whole genome shotgun sequence.
GCCAGCGUAGCUCAAUCGGCAGAGCACAGCAUUCGUAAUGCUGGGGUUGCGGGUUCGACUCCCACCGCUGGCU